GACGAACGCUGGCGGCGUGCUUAACACAUGCAAGUCGAACGGAAAGGCCCUGCUUGCAGGGUACUCGAGUGGCGAACGGGUGAGUAACACGUGGGUGAUCUGCCCUGCACUUCGGGAUAAGCCUGGGAAACGGGGUCUAAUACCGGAUAGGAGCCAUUUUUAGUGUGAUGGUUGGAAAGUUUUUUCGGUGUAGGAUGAGCUCGCGGCCUAUCAGCUUGUUGGUGGGGUAAUGGCCUACCAAGGCGGCGACGGGUAGCCGGCCUGAGGGGGUGGACGGCCACAUUGGGACUGAGAUACGGCCCCGACUCCUACGGGAGGCAGCAGUGGGGAAUAUUGCCCAAUGGGCGCAAGCCUGAUGCAGCGACGCCGCGUGGGGGAUGACGGCCUUCGGGUUGUAAACUCCUUUCGCUAGGGACGAAGCUUUUUGUGACGGUACCUAGAUAAGAAGCACCGGCUAACUACGUG
rnacentral:rRNA from 1 species